rnacentral:rRNA from 1 species
CCCUAAUAUAUAAAUUGUUAAAAUUAGUAUAUAAUGAAAUUUAAUAAUUUUGGCGGUUAAUCAUUUAUUAGAGGAGCUUGUUAAAGAAUAGACAUUACUCUUUAUAUCUUACUUUAAAGUUGUUUAUUCAUCUCCGUUAUUAGAUGAAUUAAUUUUUAUUGAGAAUGAUGAAUAAAUCUAAAUUUCAGGUCAAGAUGUAGCGUUAUAGAGAAUAAAUUAGCUACAGUUUUUAAAAAAUGGAUUUUAGAUUGGAUAUUAUAUUGAAAAUGAAUUUAAUUGUAAUAUUAGAUAAAGUUCUAAUAUGAAUAAUAUUGAUUAAUGUU